rnacentral:rRNA from 1 species
GAUGAACGCUGGCGGCGUGCUUAACACAUGCAAGUCGAACGUGAGGGGGUAGCAAUAUCCUUGAAAGUGGCGCACGGGUGAGUAAUACGUAGGUAACCUGCCCUGGAGUGGGGGAUAACAGCUAGAAAUGGCUGCUAAUACCGCAUGAGGCCGAGACACUGGGAAGUGUUUUGGCGAAAACUCUGGUGCUUCAGGAGGGGCCUGCGGCCGAUUAGCUAGUUGGCGGGGUAAGAGCCCACCAAGGCAUUGAUCGGUAGCUGGUCUGAGAGGACGAUCAGCCACACGGGAACUGAGACACGGUCCCGACUCCUACGGGGGGCAGCAGUGAGGAAUAUUGGGCAAUGGGCGGAAGCCUGACCCAGCAACGCCGCGUGGAGGAAGACGGCCUUC